GACGAACGCUGGCGGCGUGCUUAACACAUGCAAGUCGAACGGAAAGGCCCUGCUUUUGGGGGGUGCUCGAGUGGCGAACGGGUGAGUAACACGUGAGUAACCUGCCCUUGACUGUGGGAUAACUUCAGGAAACUGGGGCUAAUACCGGAUAGGAGCUCCUGCUGCAUGGUGGGGGUUGGAAAGUUUCGGCGGUUGGGGAUGGACUCGCGGCUUAUCAGCUUGUUGGUGGGGUAGUGGCUUACCAAGGCUUGGACGGGUAGCCGGGCUGAGAGGGUGACCGGCCACAUUGGGACUGAGCUACGGCCCAGACUCCUACGGGAGGCAGCAGUGGGGAAUAUUGCACAAUGGGCGGAACGCUGAUGCAGCAAAGCAGCGUGGGGGAUGACGGCCUUCGGGUUGUAAACCGCUUUCGCCUGUGACGAAGCGUGAGUGACGGUAAUGGGUAAAGAAGCACCGGCUAACUACGUG
rnacentral:rRNA from 1 species